UACGUAGGGGGCAAGCGUUGUCCGGAUUUAUUGGGCGUAAAGAGCGUGUAGGCGGCCUGGAAGGUCAGCUGUGAAAACUCGAGGCUCAACCUCGAGACGUCGGUUGAAACCACCUGGCUAGAGUCCGGAAGAGGAGAGUGGAAUUCCCGGUGUAGCGGUGAAAUGCGCAGAUAUCGGGAAGAACACCCGUGGCGAAGGCGGUUCUCUGGGACGGUACUGACGCUGAGACGCGAAAGCGUGGGGAGCGAACAGG
rnacentral:rRNA from 1 species